GACGAACGCUGGCGGCGUGCUUAACACAUGCAAGUCGAACGGAAAGGCCCUGCUUUUGUGGGGUGCUCGAGUGGCGAACGGGUGAGUAACACGUGAGUAACCUGCCCUUGACUUUGGGAUAACUUCAGGAAACUGGGGCUAAUACCGGAUAGGAGCUCCUGCUGCAUGGUGGGGGUUGGAAAGUUUCGGCGGUUGGGGAUGGACUCGCGGCUUAUCAGCUUGUUGGUGGGGUAGUGGCUUACCAAGGCUUUGACGGGUAGCCGGCCUGAGAGGGUGACCGGCCACAUUGGGACUGGGAUACGGCCCAGACCCCUACGGGAGGCAGAAGUGGGGAAUAUUGCACAAUGGGCGGAAGCCUGAUGAAGCAACGCCGCGUGCGGGAUGACGGCCUUCGGGUUGUAACCCGCUUUCGCCUGUGACGAAGCGUGAGUGACGGUAAUGGGUAAAGAAGCACCGGCUAACUACGUG
rnacentral:rRNA from 1 species